rfam:Daedalea quercina L-15889 unplaced genomic scaffold DAEQTscaffold_7, whole genome shotgun sequence.
GCCUGUUUAGCUCAGUGGUAGAGCGCGCCACUCGUACCACUUGUUAGUUCGAACAAGCUCGGCUUACGUAAUGGUGAGGUCGCUUGUUCGAUCCAGGCAAUAGGCA